UGCCCAGCAACUCCAAUCUCUACCUCCUCGUGGUACCGGCCGGAAACUACGAGCAACCUUAGGGAAGAUCGGGUUUGGUUGG
rnacentral:ribozyme from 1 species